UGCGGCCACCCUCACCCCUCCCUUCCCUGACCCCCUUCCCCCGCAGAAACGCGGAGGGCUGCGGAGCGGCUACCUGAGGCCCUGAGCCGUGGAAAGAUGUGAAGGAGCGCAGGGAAAACAAAGUGAACGCCAUGAGAAGGCCGUCCCCCCUUGCCCCCCUUCCCCAGGCGGGCCCACCAGAAGCGGCCGGAGCGGGAGCCGCAGCCGGGCCACAGGCCUGUUUGAUUGCCUAAGCCUGGUGGCCAGACAAUAGGACCAGAAAGAAUGGCUGCUUCCUUCCUUCCUGUCGAGUGUUCUGCCUGAGUGAGCAAAUUCAAUAGCACUUCGCUUAGCAGCAACACCAGGCUCUCUCGCACAGGCGAAAAUCAACAAAGAGCCAUUCUCGGGCAUUUCCAACUGCACCUAAGCCAAGGCACUGAGCUGUGGAGCCAUCCGGCCUGGGGAGGGGAGCCGCGCAGGCAUUGCUCUCGGCACAGUAAACAUCCAGGCUGCUUGAAGGGUGCUAAGAGGUAUUCACACGUAACUAAACUAGCUGAAGGUGAUGCUGUGUAGAAAAUCUAAGCCUGCUGCCUUCUGCAGACUCAAGUGAUUGCGCAUUUAAAUCGCAGACUGGCUGAAAAAAAAAAAAGUAGGUGUCAGUGAAUGAAUAUAUUUGAUAAAAGUGGGCAAGCAGAUGACCGUGACUAUGCUCAGAUCCCAUUCUUUAUUUCAGUGUUGUGCCAAAAUAAGGAGGAGCAUCGUGUUGCUAAAAAGACAAGGACCCAGGACGUGCACCCCCAAAGCUGACAGAAGUCACAGUUUUUGUAAGCACUGAAUUUCUACAUCUUUGGGACUCUGAAGUGGGUUCAGUCCAUGAAGCUUUUCCCAUGCAGAAAUAAAAGGUGCACAGUGUUUGUACAUCACUUUGUAGCACGGCAAUCAAACAGGAGGAAUUCCUGUGCAUCUGCAGUAAGGCAUCUCCCCUUGCACUUGCAUGGCAUAGGAUGUGGGGGAUACUGAGGAACACAGUGUAUUCUUGUGAACAUCUGGGUUUGUUGAU